rnacentral:rRNA from 1 species
AUGUCGAGCUCCGCUUCAGCCUCCCGCCGCUCAUGGCCGCGCUAUGGCGCAGUGCCCAUGACAAGAUGCCCUGCAUGCCCACGUAUCGCACCCCUGAAGCGGCUAGUCACAACGACCGACAAGAAUGGCAACCUUGGGCGGGAAUUCGUGAAAUGCGAGAGCAAACCAGAGCAGGGAAAGAAAUUGAAGCAAUGCACCCAUUUUGAGUGGCUAGAUGAGUACAUAGAGCGGAUUCAACUGGAGGGUGCAUCAGGGGAGCUCAAUUUACUGUUGGAGGCGGAGAAGUUGGGCAAGUUUAGAUCGGGCGCAUCUGGAUCCGGGGCCCCUGGAUCUGGCAAUUCCAUCGGGGGCGCCCGCCCUUCCAUUGGUGCUACUGUGGGGGAUGCAGGAGUGACGGCAGAGCUGAAGAAGCUGAACAAGCAGAUGAAGAAACUCAUCAAAUUGCAGAAGCAUGGCAAUUUGAUGGGGCUCAUGGCCGCACUUUUUUAUGUUUGUGUAAUUGGUCUCGCAUUUGUUUAUGUG